rnacentral:lncRNA from 1 species
CAUAUUCAUAGGAGACAGGAGAUGGAGGUACUGUCAUUGUUGUCACACACACCCCCUUCACUACUUUAACAUUGUUUGCUGUUGCACAGAGGCCUACCUGAAACUCUCACCAUGACACUGGUAAUUGGACACGACUUGAGGUGAAACCACGAGGUUUUCCUCGGGGCCGGUUCCUCUCUCAGCACACAGCAGACUGCAGGAGAGACGUGUGAGAAGAAAGAGAGCGCGAGAAGGUUAUGAUGUAACGUUGGACCCAGUAAACGGGGGGAUGUGGUGUAUGGGGGGCUCCAGGACUCCAGAGCUGUGUGAUAUUUUUAACCUGGGCGUUGCGUUGGAGACAGACAGGGCCGAGGAUGGCGGCGUUGGAAACAG